rnacentral:lncRNA from 1 species
UCGACCUCGAGAAACCUUUGAGCACAACCGAGAUCGUUCCGGUCAUAGUCUUCUUCCACGGCGGGAGUUUCACUCAUUCCUCCGCAAACAGCGCCAUCUACGACACCUUUUGUCGUCGCCUCGUCAACAUUUGCAAAGCCGUCGUUGUGUCAGUGAACUAUCGCCGAUCGCCCGAACACCGAUACCCUUGUGCGUACGACGAUGGUUGGGCGGCUCUAAAGUGGGUUAAAUCAAGAACUUGGCUUCAAAGUGGAAAGGACUCCAAAGUGCACGUGUACUUGGCUGGCGAUAGUUCUGGUGGCAACAUAGCUCACCAUGUUGCGGUGAGAGCAGCAGAGGCUGACGUUGAGGUACUAGGCAACAUUCUCCUUCACCCAAUGUUCGGUGGGCAGAUGAGAACGGAAUCCGAAAAGAGAUUGGACGGCAAGUACUUCGUGACGCUCCACGACCGCGAUUGGUAUUGGCGAGCUUAUCUACCGGAAGGCGAAGAUCGAGACCAUCCGGCUUGUAACCCGUUCGGGCCAAGAGGUCGAACCCUUGAAGGUCUCAAGUUCCCGAAAAGUCUGGUAGUCGUGGCGGG